rnacentral:rRNA from 1 species
GUGAACGCUGGCGGUAGGCCUAACACAUGCAAGUCGAACGGCAGCACAGUAAGAGCUUGCUCUUACGGGUGGCGAGUGGCGGACGGGUGAGGAAUACAUCGGAAUCUACUUUUUCGUGGGGGAUAACGUAGGGAAACUUACGCUAAUACCGCAUACGACCUACGGGUGAAAGCAGGGGAUCUUCGGACCUUGCGCGAUUGAAUGAGCCGAUGUCGGAUUAGCUAGUUGGCGGGGUAAGGGUCCACCAAGGCGACGAUCCGUAGCUGGUCUGAGAGGAUGAUCAGCCACACUGGAACUGAGACACGGUCCAGACUCCUACGGGAGGCAGCAGUGGGGAAUAUUGGACAAUGGGCGCAAGCCUGAUCCAGCCAUACCGCGUGGGUGAAGAAGGCCUUCGGGUUGUAAAGCCCUUUUGUUGGGAAAGAAAAGCAGCAGGUUAAUACCCCGCUGUUCUGACGGUACCCAAAGAAUAAGCACCGGCUAACUUCGUG